rnacentral:snoRNA from 1 species
AUGCCUCUCUGACAGACCUGGAGCAGUUAAUGUCUGCUGCUAAGGUUUCCACCAUAGAUGCAAGAAAAAGAAGAUCUUUGCAUGUUCUGUGUGUCUGGUUGUGGCAGCCAAGUUUGAAUGGGGAAUACAGGA